GAUGAACGCUAGCGGCAGGCCUAACACAUGCAAGUCGAGGGAGGAGCCUUCGAGCUUCGUCCGGCGUCCGGGUCCGUAACGCGUAUACAAUCUGCCUUUCACCUAGGGUUAGACAGAGGGAAAAUGUCUUAAUACCGAAUGGUAUAUAGAUGUGGCAUCACCUUUAUAUUAAAGCUGAGGCGGUGACAGUUGAGUAUGCGUUCUAUGAGCUAGUUGGAGAGGUAACGGCUCCCCAAGGCGACGAUAGAUAGGGGGUCUGAGAGGGAUAUCCCCCACACUGGUACUGAGAUACAGACCAGACCGGUACGGGAGGCAGCAGUGAGUAAUAUAGGACACUGGUCGGAAGACUGAUCCAGCCAUGCCGGUUGCAGGAAGACGGCGUUAUGGGUAGUAAACUGCUUGUGCAGAGGAAGAAUAAGGAUUACGCGUCGUUUGAUGACGGUACCCUGCGAAUAAGCAUCGGCUAACUACGUG
rnacentral:rRNA from 1 species